rnacentral:rRNA from 1 species
AUUGAACGCUGGCGGCAUGCUUUACACAUGCAAGUCGAACGGUAACAGGCCGCAAGGUGCUGACGAGUGGCGAACGGGUGAGUAAUGCAUCGGAACGUGCCCAGUCGUGGGGGAUAACGCAGCGAAAGCUGCGCUAAUACCGCAUACGAUCUAGGGAUGAAAGCGGGGGACCGUAAGGCCUCGUGCGAUUGGAGCGGCCGGUGUCAGAUUAGGUAGUUGGUGGGGUAAAGGCUCACCAAGCCGACGAUCCGUAGCUGGUCUGAGAGGACGACCAGCCACACUGGGACUGAGACACGGCCCAGACUCCUACGGGAGGCAGCAGUGGGGAAUUUUGGACAAUGGGCGCAAGCCUGAUCCAGCAAUGCCGCGUGCAGGAAGAAGGCCUUCGGGUUGUAAACUGCUUUUGUACGGAACGAAACGGCUCUGGUUAAUACCUGGGGCUAAUGACGGUACCGUAAGAAUAAGCACCGGCUAACUACGUGCCAGCCGCCGCGGUAAAAC